UAAGGCAAAUGCGGCAUACUUGUUAUGUUGAGGAAAGUCCUUGCUCGCACAGCCUGAGAUGGUUGUAGUGUUUGUGCUUAGGGAAAAAAUAACCUAAGGUAGCGUAUGCUAACGGCUCCGAGGAAACCUUCAAUGGUUUUAGUAGGUGUAAAAGUGCCAAAGUGACGAAGAAAAGGGAAACCUUGGAAGUGGAACGUGGUAAACCCCGCAAGCGAGAAACCCAAAUUUUGGUAGGGGAGCUGUUGCUAGGAAUUAAACGAUGCAACGGACCAGAAAUGGUAGAUAAAUAUUUGCCCCGUUUUUUAACGGACAGAACAAGGCUUAUU
rnacentral:RNase_P_RNA from 1 species